rnacentral:rRNA from 1 species
AUUGAACGCUGGCGGAAUGCUUUACACAUGCAAGUCGAACGGUAGAGGGGGCAACCCCUCGAGAGUGGCGAACGGGUGAGUAAUAUAUCGGAACGUGCCCAGUCGUGGGGGAUAACGUAGCGAAAGUUACGCUAAUACCGCAUACGAUCUAAGGAGGAAAGCGGGGGAUCGCAAGACCUCGCGCGAUUGGAGCGGACGAUCUCGGAUUAGGUAGUUGGUGGGGUAAAGGCCCACCAAGCCAACGAUGUGUAGCUGGUCUGAGAGGACGAGCCGCCACACUGGAACUCAGACAACGUCCAGACUCCUACGGGAGGCAGCAGUGGGAAAUUUUGGACAAUGGGCGAAAGCCUGAUCCAGCCAUUCCGCGUGCAGGAUGAAGGCCCUCGGGUUGUAAACUGCUUUUGUACAGAUCGAAAAGGUUUCUACUAAUACUAGGAGCUCAUGACGGUACUGUAAGAAUAAGCACCGGCUAACUACGUGCCAGCAGCCGCAGUAA